UUAAGCUUUUGUAGUCAAAACUCUUUUUUUAAUGUCUGGGUAGAUGUUGGCUGUCCCUAAGUAUUUUUCAGGGUGUGCUCAUACAGCUGAACUGUCAGGGGUCUUGUUGCAAAGACCUGUGAAAUUGGAUCCUCUUUCCUGGCAACAGACAGUACCUGCCUCUGCCAAGUCCUUCUGCAGGGUUCAACCAGGCUGCAGCCAGCUCUUGCACAUUGCUUGUUUUCUGGACAGCCCUCACCAUUGCCAAAGAAUGCCAUAGAAUGGAUGUCCAUCGCUGGAUCUGGCUGUCAGUUGUCUGCAGAGGAAUCAAUUACAAAGGAGAGAGCCCUUCAGGGUUGUAGAAGCACUGAGAAGAUAGGGUCUUCUUCAAGAAACUUGCAAACACCAAUACACCUAACUCAUAGUCAAAAGAACUGAUGUGAGCAUGCAGUCAGUGUGCCUUUCAGCAUGGAAUUUCCUGCAGGCAGAGCAGCAAUGUAGCCCUUUGCAAGUCCUCCACAUGUUCCAUAGUACAUGAAAAAGUUGUGCUGUCAAAAUCAGGUUCCCACCUGCUGCCUUUGGAAAUGCUGUUUUGUUUUUGUCUAGGAAGAGAGGCAGGGGCCCUGCUUGAUGCUUCUUAGGGAACAGCAAUUUGCACAGUGUGUACAGCUCAUCCCUCUGAAUUCCUGUGUUUGUGGACUCCUGAGUUUCACAUUGUAACUGUUGGCAGUCAGCUUUAAAAUGAUGAAAGACUGAGGAAGCACACAGGUGUGUGAAAGAAAUGGGAACAGAGAGCUUGCCAACCCUGAAG